CCGUACAGCAAUCCUCUCUCUCCCCAAAACCCAAGCUCCUCUCCCCUCCCCAGAUCCCUCUUUCCUCUCCUGCUCACCCCUUCACGCCGACGCCUUCAGCCGUCGAGCUCGUCGUCGAGCUCCCCAAACCCUCCUCCCUCUCCCUCCGACCGACUCCGACUCCGACUCCGACCUCCUCCGCUGCUCCCUCUCAUAUCGCCGCCAGCUCGCCGCCGGUCUUCAACCGCGUCGGAGCCUAGCCCGCGAGCCCCGUCGCCGCCAGUCUUCACCCUCGUCGGAUCCAAGCCCAGAUCGAGUGAUUCAAUGGAACAAGAUAAUAUUGAUGAAGCCACUGAUGAUUUAGAAGAUUCUUGUGAGGAAGAUGAAGUUCUCACUAUUGUGUGAAGUUUGAUCAAUGUUGGCAGAGCAAAUCAUAACACUAUUGGUGAGAAUUUGUGAUCAUCGUUAUGUAUC